rnacentral:rRNA from 1 species
CCUACGGGUGACUGCAGUGAGGAAUAUUGGUCAAUGGGCGGAAGCCUGAACCAGCCAAGUAGCGUGCAGGAUGACGGCCCUCCGGGUUGUAAACUGCUUUUAUACGGGAAUAACGCGCCUUACGUGUAGGGCUUUGCAUGUACCGUAUGAAUAAGGAGCGGCUAAUUCCGUGCCAGCAGCCGCGGUAAUACGGAAGGUCCGGGCGUUAGUCGGUUUUAUUGGGUUUAAAGGGAGCGUAGGCCGCAUGUCAAGCGUGCUGUGAAAUGGCCGCGCUCAACCCGGGCCUUGCAGCGCGAACUGGCGUGCUUGAGUCCUCGGAAGGCAGGCGGAAUUCGUCGUGUAGCGGUGAAAUGCUUAGAUAUGACGAAGAACCCCGAUUGCGAAGGCAGCUUGCUGCAGCGGAACUGACGCUGAUGCUCGAAAGCGCGGGUAUCGAACAGGAUUAGAUACCCUUGUAGUC